rnacentral:rRNA from 1 species
UGGGGAAUAUUGCACAAUGGGCGCAAGCCUGAUGCAGCCAUGCCGCGUGUAUGAAGAAGGCCUUCGGGUUGUAAAGUACUUUCAGCGGGGAGGAAGGCGAUAAGGUUAAUAACCUUGUCGAUUGACGUUACCCGCAGAAGAAGCACCGGCUAACUCCGUGCCAGCAGCCGCGGUAAUACGGAGGGUGCAAGCGUUAAUCGGAAUUACUGGGCGUAAGGCGCACGCAGGCGGUCUGUCAAGUCGGAUGUGAAAGCCCCGGGCUCAACCUGGGAACUGCAUUCGAAACUGGCAGGCUAGAGUCUUGUAGAGGGGGGUAGAAUUCCAGGUGUAGCGGUGAAAUGCGUAGAGAUCUGGAGGAAUACCGGUGGCGAAGGCGGCCCCCUGGACAAAGACUGACGCUCAGGUGCGAAAGCGUGGGGAGCAAACA